UACAGAGGUGGCAAGCGUUGUUCGGAAUUACUGGGCGUAAAGCGCGCGUAGGCGGCUUUGUAAGUUAGAGGUGAAAGCCCGGGGCUCAACCCCGGAAUUGCCUUUAAGACUGCAUCGCUUGAAUCCGGGAGAGGUGAGUGGAAUUCCGAGUGUAGAGGUGAAAUUCGUAGAUAUUCGGAAGAACACCAGUGGCGAAGGCGGCUCACUGGACCGGCAUUGACGCUGAGGUGCGAAAGCGUGGGGAGCAAAACAGG
rnacentral:rRNA from 1 species